CACAACUUUACUUUCUGAUCUGAUAUCCUUCACGUCUGUAGUUUCUACAGUUUCUCAAAGCCCUAAUCGAAGCCUACACUAAACCUAACGCGCACUCAAAACGAACAUGGAAGAUCUGUCUCUGAUUUGCUCUGGUCUUGGCGUCCCCGAAGAAGAUGAAAGCGGCAAUCGUAUCGGCUACUCCAAGGGCGAGAACUGCCUAGAUAAUUUAAAGGAUUUGCUGAGAUUUUUGAGGCGUGAUGAUUCACAAACGCGACAAGUUUUUAAGGAAGUUUGUAAAUGGAAGAUUGUGUCCAAGGAUUUGAUUCCGAUUAUUCAGUUUUGCCGAGAUGACCGUAACUUGGUCUUAAAUGCAGUGAAGGUGUUGGUGUUUCUUACCAUGCCACUUGAGCCUUCAUCAAUUGAUAUCCCUCAGCAGAUAGAGUACCUCUGGGACUUGAAGUCUGCGAUGACAAGUAGUAACACUGUUGGAGUGAUUGUUUCGCUACUUGAAGGCCCGCUUGAAAAUUUGGAAUGUGAAUCAUUCACUGAGGAUGACUGGAAAUUGGUCCAGCUGGUACUCACACUAUUUCGAAACAUUCUUGCCAUCCAAGACAUUUCAUUGCCACAGAAAGUUGGGGGAUCUGCUUGCCAUCUUUUGUCACUAAGAGAUAGAUUUCUGGAACUUCUGUUCCAUGAGAAUGUAAUGGACCUGAUUGUAAUUAUAACUCAGCAUGUUCGUGUUUCUCACAGCUAUCUCCGUCAGGAUAACUUACUUUUGUUGGAGAUUUUCCAUUACAUUUUCAUGGGUCGAGAGUCAGAGUCGAUUGCCAAAGCACAUCUAAAUGAUUUCAAGGUAAGCGGAGACACCAAGGCUUCUCUUGAUAGUCUCAAGUCCAUUACGGAAGAGGAAGAACAGAAAAGAAAGCUUUCCAGAAAUGUGGCACGUCAUUCACAAUUUAGUGGAACAUUUACAAGGCUUAAUAUGGAUGGUUCUAAGGCAGUAUGCAAGGGAAAUCCUAGCUCUGCUUCUCAGAGUAUCCUGCUCAAACCUCAUAAAAUUCAAAGGAGUUUGACUAAAAAGAUUGUGUGGGACCAUGCGAGAUUUCCUUCCAUGAAGGAUAACAUUUUGGUGUUGCUGCAUGAUUUUCUGAACCAGUUCUUAUCAGGAGGUUACAAUGUUUUGAUGCAGACAAUUUGUGAGGACAUUGAAAAGGAGCAUCAUGCGAUUCAGAAGAGUGAUAUUGUUGUUUUCUUCCAGGUUGCUCAGUUUGUUACUUCUUUCCAAUAUCACAAGUUUUUAACGUACAAGCCGAACAUGGAAAAGGACAAUUCUCACGGCCUGUCCAAUGAAUGUGCUGAUAGCACAUUAUUCAAGGGUGAUAUAUGUGGACCAAUUGCAGCAUCAAUGAAUGAAUCAAUGUUUCUAAUAGUCAUUUCAAGGUGGCGCAAUGCUUUUGAUGGCCUGAAGGAAACAAACGAUUACAAAUUUCUAUCUGCGGCGGGCUCGCUGAUGAAAAUUAUGAUCUGCAUUUUGGAUUUGGUUCUUAAGUUAUUGCCUGAAGAUUCUAGGGAGCCUCGAACAGCUCGCAUUCUGCUUUACAAGUUAUUCUAUGAUCAAACUGAUCAAGGAUUGAGUCAGUUCCUUUUGAGCCUGAUCAAAUCAUUUAACACACACAAACAAUCCAAAAGUGAUCUUGCAGAUUUAGUGGAAAUGAUUCAUGUAAUUGCAAGACUGAUGGAGAAUCUUCAAUCUCGUGGCACAUUAAGGGUUUCUAAGAAAUCAAGGAAGGUUAGAAAGAAGAAAGUGUCGGGUGAAAAGAAGGAAACUGAAAAUGAACUGUCCGUAGAUGAAUCCAACAGUCAGGAUCAGAACCUUUCUUCUAAUACUGAACAACCAACUGGUUUGAGCAUAUUGCAAGAGAAAAGCCAAGAGAACGCAACUUCUGAUAAUCAAGAAAGCAUCUACACUGAUAUUCAAGUUGACAAGCCUGAAAUAGUUGCACCAGAGAUGGGGAAUCUGCCUCUAAUGGAUAACAGAAAGAUUGAUCAUGUGGAUUAUGAUCUUUCUUGCAGCUCUGAUGAUUCUUCUGGUGAUGAGCAGCCUGCUGCAAAUUAUGAAGUUGAUUUUAAGGUCUCUACCUUUGUAUCAGCUUUUGCAAAUCACAACAUCAUUCGGAAUUUGUGCUGGUUGCUUAGGUUCUACAAGAGUAACUCCAUUAGUACAAAUCACUACAUUAUAUGCAUGUUGCAGAGGAUCACUGAUGACCUGGAUCUUUCUCCAAUGCUAUAUCAGUUAUCACUACUCACAACAUUUUAUGACAUCCUGGAUGAGCAAAAGUCACGUCCAUGCAAGGAAUAUGCAAAUAUUGUUAAUUUCCUGACAAGUUUUGUUAGAAGAAUGCUAAGAAAAAUGAAGAAUCAACCCCUUCUAUUUGUGGAAGCUCUCUUUUGGAAGUCCCGCAAAGAGUGCCAUUACAUUAAUGCUGAAUAUUUAUUGCAUGAGCUUGGCCAUAUAAGGAAGGAAACUAGAAGUUGGGGGAAUGUUUUGGAGAAGGGAGAAACUGGGUCCUCACAGGGAAAGGGAUGGGUUCCAAGAAACAUAGCAGAUGCACUGGGUGAGGAUGAAGCAGAUGUUGUGAUCUCACAUGAGCCAUAUCAGAAGGUGAAAGAUAAUUUUGGUGAAGUGCAGAAAGAUAUCUCACCUAUUUCAAAGGCCAGUGAUGAUGGGAAAGGAAAUUCCGACUAUGGAGGAAAUAACACUGAACGUGAAAUUGAAGGGGUUUCCAAAAGAAAGAGAAGAUUUGUUCUCACUGAUGAGUUGGAAAUGAGAAUAAGAGAUCUCUAUGAGAAAUUCAAGGAUGAUGGGAAUUGUAAUUGUCUGAUUGCGGAAUCCCUAGAUCCCACCGGUCAUAUUUCACCUGCACAAGUUUUUAACAAGCUCAAACAACUAGGAUUAAAAGUGGCAUCAAAGAAAAGGAUGAGAAAUGUUGAUAAAACAACUUAUAUUUCUGAUCAACCUGGGGACAAAGGAAGGACAACAGAAAAAGAAAGUGAUCUUCAUAACUCAAUUGAUUUUGAAGGGACUAUGCUGAGGAAAUCCUUGGCCACUAGGAAAAGAGUGCGUGCCUUUAACAAAGAUCAGGAGGAAAUGAUUAAAGCUUUAUUUGAGCAGUUCAAAGAGCACAAAAGAUGCAGCUUUAUGAUUGCAAAGGCACUGCCUGCUGGUCAUUCUUUCACAGCUGCACAAAUUUCUCGAAAACUCAAGCAACUUGGCUUGCGUGUUCCUCGGCAGGAGAGGUCUGAUGCAAAAAUGCAUCGAAUAUAUGAGGAACCGAGUGAACUUUCAGUUGCAAGACAGGAUUCUGACGACGAAACAUUGUUAUCAUUGAGGAAUAGGAGUAGAAACAAGGAUGGUGGCAGAUUUUUAAAUGGGUCGUCUAAACGGAACAUAGAGGAGUUUUCUGAUGAUUCCGACAAUGAAUUCCUACGCUCUAUCCUCAAGCAUAAAAGCAAAGGUGGUGAUAAAUUGUUUGGGGAGGCACAAAAUACUGAGGGAGAGUUACCUGAUGAUGAAAUUUUAGGCUCUGCUCUUAAUAAAACAAGAAAGCUCCAUCCAAAAGCAAAAAGUAGACAGCUCACAACAAUAUCCAUUGAGAGGAAAGUAACUGAGGAAAAUUUGGGCGAUGGAGAUCCUAAAGAUUUUGCAGAAAGGGAUGGAGAAGGGAUUCACAAGGAUGUUGCUCUCAACAUCAACCAGGAUGAUGCUUCAGAAUCUGAUACAAUUGGCAAUAUCAGUAGAAGUCCAGUUAUUUCGGUAGUUGAUGUCAAGGAUGAUUUAGCAGAUCGACAAAUUGAUGAUGAUGAUGCUUUUGGCUCAUCAAUGAAAACUGCCCAACUUAAGAGGAAGUUGAGGAUGGUAAUUGACUUUGAUGACGAUGAUUAAGAUGAAGCAUUGUACUGUUUCACUCUUCCAUUAGUAUGUUGUGAUUGGAAUUGGUUAUCUUAGUUCUGUUUUGCUGGACCUCCUUUGCUGGCCUGUCAACCCCUUUCCCUUUUUCCUUCUUUUCUUGUAGUAUGUCUUUGUUAAUAUUUUGUAUAUAGAAACAUGGGAGUUUAGUGAUCAAUGUUGUUCUUAGGUCACAUGGGAUCGUUUUUUCACUUCAUGUGAAGAGUAUUUUGCUGAUUGUACAACUAAACUAAGAUCAUGGAAUGAAGUAGAGUGCUAACUGCUUAA
rnacentral:misc_RNA from 1 species